CUCAGGAUGAACGCUGGCGGCGUGCCUAAUACAUGCAAGUCGAGCGAUGAGGCUCCUUCGGGAGUACAUCAGCGGCGAACGGGUGAGUAACACGUAGGUGACUUGCCCCGAAGAUGGGGAUAACCUCUGGAAACGGGGGCUAAUACCCAAUGUGCUCGGUGAUUCGGUUGAUCGAGUAAAGCUCCGGCGCUUCGGGAGAGGCCUGCGGCCCAUCAGCUAGUUGGUAGGGUAACGGCCUACCAAGGCAGAGACGGGUAGGGGGCGUGAGAGCGCGGACCCCCACACUGGCACUGCGACACGGGCCAGACUCCUACGGGAGGCAGCAGUAAGGAAUAUUGCGCAAUGGACGAAAGUCAGACGCAGCGACGCCGCGUGGGCGAUGAAGGCCUUCGGGUUGUAAAGCCCUUUUAUGGGGGAAGAGAAAAAGGACGGUACCCCAUGAAUAAGUCCCGGCUAACUACGUGCCAGCAGCCGCGGUAAAACGUAGGGGACAAGCGUUAUCCGGAUUCACUGGGCGUAAAGAGCGUUGAGGCGGUUCCGUAAGUUGGGCGUGAAAGCUCCGGGCUUAACCCGGAGAUGUCGUUCAAUACUGCGGGGCUUGAGGACAGCAGAGGAAGGUGGAAUUCCCGGUGUAGUGGUGACAUGCGUAGAUAUCGGGAGGAACACCCGUGGCGAAAGGCGUGCUUCUGGGCUGUUCCUGACGCUGAAGGCGAAAGCUAGGGGAGCGAAACGGGAUUAGAUACCCCGGUAAGUCCCUAGCUGUAAACGAUGGAUGCUGGGUGUG
rnacentral:rRNA from 1 species